AGGUCCCUCCCCCAGCCUGUAAAUGUGUUGGUGAUUCCUUCUCCCUAGGUGCAGCACUUUGCACUUGUCUUUGUUGAACUGCAUCCUAUUCUGUUCUGCCAACUUUUCCAACCUGGGAAAAGUGGGCAGAAUUUUUGCUGGGAGUGGGAGGGAGAGGGGAAAGGGUGGGGCCUGACUCUCUCGGUCACCCAAGGCUUGGCUCAGGCUCACUUUCCUUCUGGAGCUUGUGAGAAUUUGUGUGAUGGAGUUGCUGUGGCAAAGACAAAAAGCAGAACUUCCAUGGAGCAGCUUUGCCUGUUCCCUGCCUAAAGCAGAUGUUUCCCAGGAAAAGUUAUCUCAUUCAUUUUAAUACACACCUUUCCCUACCCUGCUCAGUGAUACAAAGAUGGAAAGCUUGUCUCUUGUGCACUUCAUUGGGAAUGUCUGACUUUGUGAAACAGAGUUGGAUCGCAAAGAAAACUGCUGAAUAUAUAUAAUGCUCUAAUGCAAGUUUUAGAAGUAGCUUUAUUAGAACCAUGUUCCGAGUGCCUCUUUGUAUGCUUACAGAAUAUUUUUCUGCAUAGUUGAGGCUCUGAAGGACAGUGUAGCUGACACACAAUUAUUCUUUGGUGACUUCAAUCUAUCUGUGUGGUCCACUGUCAUGCUUGGGUGUUUUAUUCAAGUUGUAUUGUUUUCUUGCCCAAGAUGACUAUUAAGCUUUGGAAUAAACUUGAAUGUUUCUGAAUAUA